rnacentral:rRNA from 1 species
CCCUUAGAGUUUGAUCCUGGCUCAGAACGAACGCUGGCGGUAUGCCUAACACAUGCAAGUCGAACGUGAAGCUCCUCUUCGGAGGAGUGGAAAGUGGCGCACGGGUGAGUAACGCGUAGAUAAUCUGCCCUUGAAUCUGGGAUAACCCUGUGAAAGCGGGGCUAAUACCGGAUAAUACUUUUUAUCGAGUGAUAGGAAGUUGAAAGAUUUAUUGUUCAAGGAUGAGUCUGCGUCCCAUUAGCUAGUUGGUGAGGUAAAGGCCCACCAAGGCGACGAUGGGUAGCGGGUCUGAGAGGAUGAUCCGUCACACUGGCACUGAGACACGGGCCAGACUCCUACGGGAGGCAGCAGUGGGGAAUUUUGCGCAAUGGGCGAAAGCCUGACGCAGCAAUACCGCGUGAGUGAAGAAGGACUUCGGUUCGUAAAGCUCUUUAUCUCAGGGAAGAUAAUGACGGUACCUGAGGAAUAAGCACCGGCUAACUACGUGCCAGCAGCCGCGGUAAUACGUAGGGUGCGAGCGUUGUUCGGAAUUACUGGGCGUAAAGGGUGUGUAGGCGGAUUGGUAAGCUAGAGGUGAAAGGCCAGGGCUCAACCCUGGGACUGCUUCUGGAACUGCCAAUCUAGAGAGGGUCAGGGGCCAGCGGAAUUCCUGGUGUAGAGGUGAAAUUCGUAGAUAUCAGGAGGAACACCGGCGGCGAAAGCGGCUGGCUGGGGCCACUCUGACGCUGAGGCACGAAAGCGUGGGGAGCAAACGGGAUUAGAUACCCCGGUAGUCCACGCUGUAAACGAUGGAUACUAGAUGUUCGAGGGAAUCGACCCCCUUGAGUGUCGCAGCUAACGCAUUAAGUAUCCCGCCUGGGGAGUACGGUCGCAAGACUAAAACUCAAAGGAAUUGA